rnacentral:rRNA from 1 species
UAGCUAGUUGGUGAGGUAAAGGCUUACCAAGGCGACGAUCUGUAGCGGGUCUGAGAGGAUGAUCCGCCACACUGGAACUGAGACACGGUCCAGACUCCUACGGGAGGCAGCAGUGGGGAAUUUUGGACAAUGGGGGCAACCCUGAUCCAGCCAUGCCGCGUGAGUGAAGAAGGCCUUCGGGUUGUAAAGCUCUUUCGGCCGGGAAGAAAUCGCAUGGGCCAAUACCCUGUGUGGAUGACGGUACCGGAAUAAGAAGCACCGGCUAACUACGUGCCAGCAGCCGCGGUAAUACGUAGGGUGCGAGCGUUAAUCGGAAUUACUGGGCGUAAAGCGUGCGCAGGCGGUUUUGUAAGACAGGCGUGAAAUCCCCGGGCUUAACCUGGGAACUGCGUUUGUGACUGCAAGGCUAGAGUACGGCAGAGGGGGGUGGAAUUCCACGUGUAGCAGUGAAAUGCGUAGAGAUGUGGAGGAACACCAAUGGCGAAGGCAGCCCCCUGGGUCGAUACUGACGCUCAUGCACGAAAGCGUGGGUAGCAAACAGGAUUAGAUACCCUGGUAGUCCACGCCCUAAACUAUGUCAACUAGGUGUUGGGUGGGUAAAACCAUUUAGUACCGUAGCUAACGCGUGAAGUUGACCGCCUGGGGAGUACGGCCGCAAGGUUAAAACUCAAAGGAAUUGACGGGGACCCGCACAAGCGGUGGAUGAUGUGGAUUAAUUCGAUGCAACGCGAAAAACCUUACCUACCCUUGACAUGCCAGGAACUUGCCAGAGAUGGCUUGGUGCCCGAAAGGGAGCCUGGACACAGGUGCUGCAUGGCUGUCGUCAGCUCGUGUCGUGAGAUGUUGGGUUAAGUCCCGCAACGAGCGCAACCCUUGUCGUUAAUUGCCAUCAUUUAGUUGGGCACUUUAACGAGACUGCCGGUGACAAACCGGAGGAAGGUGGGGAUGACGUCAAGUCCUCAUGGCCCUUAUGGGUAGGGCUUCACACGUCAUACAAUGGUCGGUACAAAGGGUUGCCAAGCCGCGAGGCGGAGCCAAUCCCAGAAAGCCGAUCGUAUUCCGGAUUGCAGGCUGCAACUCGCCUGCAUGAAGUCGGAAUCGCUAGUAAUCGUGGAUCAGCAUGUCACGGUGAAUACGUUCCCGGGUCUUGUACACACCGCCCGUCACACCAUGGGAGCGGGUUCCGCCAGAAGUAGGUAGCCUAACCGCAAGGGGGGCGCUUACCACGGCGGGGUUCGUGACUGGGGUGAAGUCGAAACAAGGUAGCCGUAGGGGAACCUGCGGCUG